rnacentral:rRNA from 1 species
UUCUUUGAACGCACAUUGCGCCCGCCAGUAUUCUGGCGGGCAUGCCUGUUCGAGCGUCAU